GAAAGGAUCUCUAUACAAACAAAUACGUGGCUGUCAAAUUGGAGCUGAUGAAGUCCCGGGCCCCACAGCUGCACGUGGGGUACUGGUUCUACAAGCGGCUGAGCGCCACUGAGGGCGCCCCUCAGGUCUACUACCUACUACUUCGGCCUGUGCUGGAAGUACAACGCUAUGGUGCUGGAGCUGCUGGGGCCCAGCCUGAAGGACCUGUUCAACCUUCACGCUGAAAACGGUGCUCCCGAUCGCCAUCCAGCUGAUCGCACGCAUGGAGUCUGUGCACACCAAGAGCCUCAUUUACCAGGACGUGAAGUCCGAGAACUUCGUGGUGUGGCGCCCGGGGACCAAGCGGCAGCUCGCUAUCCACAUUAUCAACUUCGGGCUGGCCAAGGGGUACAUUGGCCUUGAGACCAAGAAGCACAUCCCGUACCGUGAGCACAAGAGCUUGACAGGCAGGGUGCGCUACAUGAACAUCAACAUGCAGCUGGGCAAGGAGCAGAGCCACUGCAGUGACCUGGAGGUGCUGGGCCACAUGUUCAUGUACUUCCUGUGCUGCAGCCUCCCCUGGCAGGGGCUCAAGGCCGACACGAUCAUGAGCGGUACAGAAUAUCGGGAACACCAAGUGCACCACGCCCAUCGAAGUGCUCUGCUAGAACUUUCCAGAGGAGAUGGCCACAUACCUGCACUACGUGCAGCGCCUGGACUUCGAGAAACCCGACUGUGACUACCUGUGCACCUCUCCACCGACCUCUUUGACCGAAGCGGCUUCCUGUUCGACUUUGAGUACCACUGGCCCAGGAAGCCCUUGGCAACGCCCAUCGGCACCGUCCACACCAACCAACCCUCCCAGCCUCAGCUUUGGGACAAAGAUCAGCCACACAGCAAAAACCAGGUGCUGACCUCCACCAAUGGGGAGCUGAAUGUGGACGACCCCAUGGCCGGCCAGUCCCGCGCCUAUCACGGCGCCUGCAGAGAUGGAGGUGGGCGAUGAAACCAAAUGCUGCUGUUUCUUCC